rnacentral:rRNA from 1 species
UACGUAGGGGCCGAGCGUUGUCCGGAGUUAUUGGGCGUAAAGCGCGCGCAGGCGGCCUCGCGCGCCCGACGUGAAAGCCCCCGGCUUAACCGGGGAGGGUCGUUGGGGACGGCGGGGCUUGAGGGCGGGAGAGGUCGGUGGAAUUCCCGGUGUAGUGGUGAAAUGCGUAGAGAUCGGGAGGAACACCUGUGGCGAAGGCGGCCGACUGGGCCGACCCUGACGCUGAGGAGCGAAAGCCAGGGGAGCAAACGGG